rnacentral:rRNA from 1 species
UACUGAAGGGGCAAGCGUUGUUCGGAAUCAUUGGGCGUAAAGGGCGCGUAGGUGGUUCUGUAUGUCUACCGUGAAAGCAUACAGCUCAACUGUAUUUUGUCGGUAGAAACUGCAGGACUUGAGGCUGGGAGGGGCUGGUGGAAUUCCCUGUGUAGCGGUGAAAUGCGUAGAGAUGGGGGAGAACACUCGUGGCGAAGGCGGCCAGCUAGACCAGUUCUGACACUGAGGCGCGACAGCGUGGGGAGCAAACAGG